GACGAACGCUGGCGGCGUGCUUAACACAUGCAAGUCGAACGGAAAGGCCCUGCUUUUGUGGGGUGCUCGAGUGGCGAACGGGUGAGUAACACGUGAGUAACCUGCCCUUGACUUUGGGAUAACUUCAGGAAACUGGGGCUAAUACCGGAUAGGAGCUCCUGCUGCAUGGUGGGGGUUGGAACGUUUCGGCGGUUGGGGAUGGACUCGCGGCUUAUCGGCUUGUUGGUGGGGUAGUGGCUUACCAAGGCUUUGACGGGUAGCCGGCCUGAGAGGGGGACCGGCCACAUGGGGACUGAGAUACGGCCCAGACUCCUACGGGAGGCAGCAGUGGGGAAUAUUGCACAAUGGGCGGAAGUCUGAUGCAGCAACGCCGCGUGCGGGAUGACGGCCUUCGGGUUGUAAACCGCUUUCGCCUGUGACGAAGCGUGAGUGACGGUAAUGGGUAAAGAAGCACCGGCUAACUACGUG
rnacentral:rRNA from 1 species